AACGAACGCUGGCGGCGUGCCUAACACAUGCAAGUCGAACGGAAUUAAAGAGCUUGCUCUUUGAUUUAGUGGCGCACGGGUGAGUAACGCGUAGAUAAUCUGCCUGACGAUCUGGGAUAACACUUCGAAAGAGGUGCUAAUACCGGAUAAGCCCACGGGUUCUUUGGAAUCUGCGGGAAAAGGGGGGGACCUUCGGGCCUUCUGUCGUCAGAUGAGUCUGCGUACCAUUAGCUAGUUGGUAGGGUAAAGGCCUACCAAGGCGACGAUGGUUAGCUGGUCUGGGAGGAUGAUCAGCCACACUGGAACUGAGACACGGUCCAGACUCCUACGGGAGGCAGCAGUGGGGAAUUUUGCGCAAUGGGCGAAAGCCUGACGCAGCAACGCCGCGUGAGUGAUGAAGGCUUUCGGGUCGUAAAGCUCUGUCAAUGGGAAAGAAGUGUAUUUUGGCUAAUAUCCUUAAUACUUGACGGUACCCAUAAAGGAAGCACCGGCUAACUCCGUGCCAGCAGCCGCGGUAACAC
rnacentral:rRNA from 1 species